GGCGUGAUGGCAAGGCGACAGUGCCGCGGAUUGCGAAUCCGUCCAGCCCGGUUCGACUCCGCUUCGCGCCU
rnacentral:tRNA from 1 species